rnacentral:rRNA from 1 species
GAUGAACGCUGGCGGCGUGCCUAAUACAUGCAAGUCGAGCGAACAGACGAGGAGCUUGCUCCUCUGACGUUAGCGGCGGACGGGUGAGUAACACGUGGAUAACCUACCUAUAAGACUGGGAUAACUUCGGGAAACCGGAGCUAAUACCGGAUAACAUGUUGAACCGCAUGGUUCAACAGUGAAAGACGGUCUUGCGGUCACUUAUAGAUGGAUCCGCGCCGCAUUAGCGAGUUGUUAAGGUAACGGCUUACCAAGGCAACGAUGCGUAGCCGACCUGAGAGGGUGAUCGGCCACACUGGAACUGAGACACGGUCCAGACUCCUACGGGAGGGAGCAGUAGGGAAUCUUCCGCAAUGGGCGGAAGCCUGACGGAGCAGCGCCGCGUGAGUGAAGAAGGUCUUCGGAUCGUAAAACUCUGUUAUUAGGGAAGAACAAAUGUGUAAGUAACUAUGCACGUCGUGACGGUACCUAAUCAGAAAGCCACGGCUGACUACGUG